AACGAACGCUGGCGGCAGGCUUAACACAUGCAAGUCGAGCGCAUCCUUCGGGGUGAGCGGCAGACGGGUGAGUAACGCGUGGGAAUGUACCCUUUGCUACGGAAUAGCUCCGGGAAACUGGAAUUAAUACCUUAUGAGCCCUUCGGGGGCAAGAUUUAUCGGCAAAGGAUCAGCCCGCGUUGGAUUAGCUAGUUGGUGGGGUAAAGGCCUACCAAGGCGACGAUCAAUAGUUGGUCUGAGAGGAUGAUUAGCAACAUUGGGACUGAGACACGGCCCAAACUCCUACGGGAGGCAGCAGUGGGGAAGAUUGGACAAUGGGCGCAAGCCUGAUCCAGCCAUGCCGAGUGAGUGAUGAAGGCCUUAGGGUUAUAAAGCUCUUUCAGUAGGGAAGAUAAUGACGGUACCUACAGAAGAAGCCCCGGCUAACUUCGUGCCAGCCGCCGCGGUAACAC
rnacentral:rRNA from 1 species